UAUUAAAAAAUUCAUCCAUUUGUGCUGUUAAAAACUGGCGUGCCAAGUGUCCUUCAUGUUAACGUACAUAAACCAAUUUUUAAUAGUAGAAAUGGAUAUAAUUUUUAACA
rfam:Gossypium arboreum cultivar AKA8401 contig_323_1, whole genome shotgun sequence.